CAGGCCUAACACAUGCAAGUCGAGCGGUAGAGAGAAGCUUGCUUCUCUUGAGAGCGGCGGACGGGUGAGUAAUGCCUAGGAAUCUGCCUGGUAGUGGGGGAUAACGUUCGGAAACGGACGCUAAUACCGCAUACGUCCUACGGGAGAAAGCAGGGGACCUUCGGGCCUUGCGCUAUCAGAUGAGCCUAGGUCGGAUUAGCUAGUUGGUGAGGUAAUGGCUCACCAAGGCGACGAUCCGUAACUGGUCUGAGAGGAUGAUCAGUCACACUGGAACUGAGACACGGUCCAGACUCUACGGGAGGCAGCAGUGGGGAAUAUUGGACAAUGGGCGAAAGCCUGAUCCAGCCAUGCCGCGUGUGUGAAGAAGGUCUUCGGAUUGUAAAGCACUUUAAGCUGGGAGGAAGGCAUUAACCUAAUACGUUGGUGUUUUGACGUUACCGGCAGAAUAAGCACCGGCUAACUUCGUGCCAGCAGCCGCGGUAAU
rnacentral:rRNA from 1 species